UACGUAGGGCGCAAGCGUUGUCCGGAAUUAUUGGGCGUAAAGAGCUCGUAGGCGGCUUGUCACGUCGGGUGUGAAAGCCCGGGGCUUAACCCCGGGUCUGCAUUCGAUACGGGCUAGCUAGAGUGUGGUAGGGGGAGAUCGGAAUCCCUGGUGUAGCGGUGAAAUGCGCAGAUAUCAGGAGGAACACCGGUGGCGAAGGCGGAUCUCUGGGCCAUUACUGACGCUGAGGAGCGAAAGCGUGGGGAGCGAACAGG
rnacentral:rRNA from 1 species